GACGAACGCUGGCGGCGUGCCUAAUAAAUGCAAGUCGAACGCAGUGGGGACGGGUGAGUAACACGUGGGUAACCUCCCAACAGAGGGGAUAACACUUGGAAACAGGUGCUAAACCGAUACUGAUGGAUGGACCCGCGGUGCAUUAGCUAGUUGUGGAGGUAACGGCUCACCAAGGCCACGUUGCAUAGCCGACCUUAGAGGGUGAUCGUCCAAUCUGGUACGUCUACCAGCACCAGACUCCUAAGGGAGGCAGCAGUAGGUAAUCUGCGGCAAUGGACGAAAGUCUGACCUAGCAACGCCGCGUUAGUGAAGAUGGUUUUCGGAUCGUAAACCUCUGUUGUUAGAGAAGCGGUAUCUAACCAGAAAGCCACGGCUAACUACGUGCCAGCAGCCGCGGUAAUAC
rnacentral:rRNA from 1 species